CUUCUGUCAGAUACACUAUAUCUGUGUAAACAGUUCAAAAUCGUGGGAACCGUUGUCCCAUGUCACCGCUAAAUAAGCCAGAAAUAAGGAUCAUCGCCAGGUCUGUGUUCAGUGCGAGAGUACAAAGUGUACCUAUCACAGGUGUAUGAGUCCAACUUGGAAAUAAAUCACAGCUAUACCUCAGACAAAAGAAAAAGUUCUCACGGCGAGAUGACUGGACACUCAGACCGGACUCUGGUGAGGUGCGUGACGGCGGUCAUUGUCGCGACAUCUGUCCUGUCCUGGGCCCAGCUUGUGGACCCAGAGAAAGCCUGCCUUUGCUCUGGAAUACACAUCGAUGGGUGCCAUCGCGCAUUGCACCAUUGUCGAUGCUUCCUCUCUCAAGAACGUGAUGCUACAAAACUCUUCUGCCUUUGACAAGUUUUUUUCAGUCCUACCUGCUGAAAAAUGCCCCUCAGGUGAAAAGUCAAGUCGAAGAACAAAUGACUCAGACCCUCAGACUGCCCUCCCUGAGCCCAGUGGGAGGAGUUAGACAGAGAGAAUUGGACUGAACGAGAGAGAGAGAAAGGUUGCAUCACCGCUUUAAUGAGACAAAACACUGACUGUUGUCAUAGCUCGAGAAAUCACAGAAUAAAAUCAGACAUGAACAAAAUUUUUAAAAAAAAUGAUGCGAUAAGUUAUCAGAAUGCUGUUCAACUGCUCGUGCCCUGUGUAUGUAUAUGUAAGUCUGUUUUUCUGUGGUUGUACUAACUGUACCUUGACUUGAAUAGUAAAGUCCCGGUCUGAUAAA
rnacentral:misc_RNA from 1 species